AAGAAAGCUGAGCGUUCCGGGGGAAGCAGGUUCAUCCCGUUUCCGGACCGGAGAUGGCGGAGAGCGGAGAACACCGGGACACCGAGAAUAACUGGGUCAUACCAAACACCGAGGGUCUCACACUGGAGACGGUGGGAUUUGACAAUGG